rnacentral:ncRNA from 1 species
CAGAGUAGAGCGCUGCGCGUUAAGUGCUCCUCGGACGGAGAGUUGCCGAGGGGACGAAAAGCGAGGUAUUUUGCCAUUCGCUUGCGGUGCAGCUCUCGCAUCUCGCUG